GGAGCCAGAGACGCCAUGGGCCGCUCUGGAAGGGGAAACCUGACACCGAAAGGCAGCUGCCACUGUGUGAGUUUGCAAACCAGGGGCCAGGAAGGAAGGAAGGAAGAGGUGCCUUCUUUCUUAGGACCAGCAAAGAAAUUCUCUUGCAAAAGACCCCCGUCUCCCAAGCGCCAAGGAGGGUCUGUCUGCCGCCGUGCCGCCCCCCAUCCUUCCACGCCUGAAGUUGCCGGACAGCCAGGAUCCCCCCCAAGUGCCUUCGAAGGCGGCCCCUGUCUUC